rnacentral:rRNA from 1 species
AUACGGAGGGUGCAAGCGUUGUUCGGAAUCACUGGGCGUAAAGGGCGCGCAGGCGGGUUGGUAAGUCAGAUGUGAAAGCCCACGGCUCAACCGUGGAAGUGCAUUUGAAACUGUCAGACUUGAGUACUAGAGGGGAAAGUGGAAUUCCCGGUGUAGAGGUGAAAUUCGUAGAUAUCGGGAGGAAUACCGGUGGCGAAGGCGACUUUCUGGCUAGAUACUGACGCUGAGGCGCGAAAGCGUGGGGAGCAAACAGGAUUAGAAACCCGAGUAGUCC